rnacentral:tRNA from 1 species
GCCGUCGUAGCUCAGCCCGGUAAGAGCACCGACCUGAUAAGUCGGGGGCCGCUGGUUCGAAUCCAGCCGUCGGCA